CCCUUAGAUGUUCUGGGCCGCACGCGCGCUACACUGACGAAUGCAACGAGCUUAUAACCUUGGCCGAAAGGUCUGGGUAAUCUCCAAAUUUCGUCGUGAUGGGGAUAGAUUAUUGCAAUUAUUAAUCUUCAACGAGGAAUGCCUAGUAAGCGCAAGUCAUCAGCUUGCGUUGAUUACGUCCCUGCCCUUUGUACACGCCGCCCGUCGCUCCUACCGAUUGAAUGGUCCGGUGAAGCGCUCGGACCGCGGCCUCUUGACGGUUUUCCGUCGAUUGGCUGUGGGAAGUUCGUUAAACCUUAUCAUUUAGAGGAAGGAGAAGUCGUANCA
rnacentral:rRNA from 1 species